GACAGAAGAUGCAAGCGUUAUCCGGAAUGAUUGGGUGUAAAGUGUCUGUAGGUGGCUUUUCAAUUCCGCUGUCAAAUCCUAGGGCUCAACCCUGGACAGGCGGUGGAAACUACCAAGCUGGAGUAUGGUAGGGGCAGAGGGAAUUUCUGGUGGAGCGGUGAAAUGCAUUGAGAUCAGAAAGAACACCAACGGCGAAAGCACUCUACUGGGCCGACACUGACACUGAGAGAUGAAAGCUAGGGGAGCAAAUGGG
rnacentral:rRNA from 1 species